GAUGAAGAACGUAGCGAAAUGCGAUAAGUAAUGUGAAUUGCAGAAUUCAGUGAAUCAUCGAAUCUUUGUACGCACAUUGCGCCCGCCAGUAUUCUGGCGGGCAUGCCUGUCUGAGCGUCAUUUCAACCCUCAUGCCCCUAGGGCGUGGUGUUGGGGAUCGGCCAAAGCCCGCGAGGGACGGCCGGCCCCUAAAUCUAGUGGCGGACCCGUCGUGGCCUCCUCUGCGAAGUAGUGAUAUUCCGCAUCGGAGAGCGAUGAGCCCCUGCCGUUAAACCCCCAACUUUCCAAGGUUGACCUCAGAUCAGGUAGGAAUACCCGCUGAACUUAAGCAUAUCAAUAAGCGGAGGA
rnacentral:misc_RNA from 1 species